rnacentral:rRNA from 1 species
AACCGUGCAAAGGUAGCGUAAUCACUUGUCCCUUAAAUGAGGACCCGUAUGAAAGGUUAACUGAGGACAAACCUGUCUCUUAUGGCCAAUCAAUGAAACUGAUCUCCCAGUACAAAAGCUGGGAUAAACACAUAAGACGAGAAGACCCUGCGGAGCUUUAAGCCAAAGUACUGCCACAUCAGACAACAUCUCCAAACAAAGGAUAUAAAUAUAGNAAAACAGUACUAACUUUUAGUUGGGGCGACUGCGGAGAAAAACUAACCUCCAUGAAAACAGGUUAACGACCAACACUAGACCAACAAGCCACGUACUAAUAUUACUUGACCCAGCAAAGCUGAUCACCGAACCAAGUUACCCCAGGGAUAACAGCGCCAUCCCCUUCAAGAGUCCCUAUCGCCAAGGGGGCUUACGACCUCGAUGUUGGAUCAGGACACCCAGAUGGUGCAGCUACUAUCAAAGGUUCGUUUGUUCAACGAUUAAAGUCCCACGUGAU